rnacentral:lncRNA from 1 species
UGCUGAAAAGCCAUGUCUCCUUUUCCUGAUGAACCUCCAAACCUCCAGUGCUACAAGUCAGUGAUGAAAUAACCAUCCUCUGUGUAAAGCUUUUAGUGCUGAAUGUGAAAAAAUUCUCCGGGCUGCCAGCAGGUGGGAUUCAUGAUCAAACAGGAUAUAGCAACUUGCACCUGGAUUGCAAGGAUUUCUUUGAGUAUGGAGCUCAGCACUCUUAUGAGAGACAACUGGAAAACAGGGCAGCUCAAGCUGGGAUUCAGAGCUGUCUUGGCAAUUCAGGAUUUGGAGGAUGAAGAAAGCAAUGUCCAUCCUCUCCCGGGUUUAACCCUAUUAAUGAUUACUACAGAGCAAACAGGAAAUGCAGUGUGGUUGUUAACACUGCUCUUUCAACUAUCUGAGAUGAAGCACUGGUGUCAGAGCUACUCACUCUCACUAAAGUCUUACAUUUUCUCCCCUUGUAUUGGUUUUGAUCUGAGUAAAAUUAAGUCAAGAAAUAAAACUCCUCCCCUUAUUUAGCAUCCUAGAGAUGUAGCCGAAAGUCCUUCUGCCUUUGCCUACUGCCAUCACUUUGCUAAAGGGUAAAUAACUGAAGAGCUACCUGUAGGGAGAGUCAAUGGAUUCUCCAUGUAGCUCUUCUGAAAACAAGUAUUACUUGCUUCCGUAGACCUUCUGAAUGUUCUGCAUAAUUAGCUUAGAAUGAAAUAUCCGAGUAUCAUCUUGAGCACUGUGAAAAAGUUCAUACAGUAACUGUGAGCAUUUCUUGCCUAUCGCAGUAUAAACUGCAUGACUUUAAACUUAGUAGUUGUUGCUCUGCUGAGCAGCCCGGCACCUCCUCAUGUCCCAGUUAAUGCACUUAGCUUGCUGUCAGUUCAUGUUUUCUUGCAGCCAGUUGUGCUAGUGCAGUUAAACAGGAAGCAGUGAUGAGGUAUUUCUUUGCAAGAUCUGAUUUUAACAGGCUAUAGUACAAUGCUUUUACUGACACUUUAUGAUAUAUUAUCAAAGCAAUGCGAACCAAAAUGUGUUUGCCAAGGUUUGAAAUUAUUCUAAUAUGUUUUAUAGUGUUGUCCUUUCUUUAAUUCCUUUGCAUCCAGAUCCAGCAAAGCACUUAAAGCGCUGUGAGAGUUCUUUGACAAUCCAUUUCCUUGCUGUUGUUGUCCCUCUAUAUCCCUGUUUGGGAAUUACAGCUCUGUCAGCAACGAAGUUUUUAAAGUCAAUUGUGUGUUCCUUGUGAUUUCUGUGAGGAAUGACUCCCCCAGAAACCCUUUGGUUAAUGCAUGAAAUUGAGAUGUG